rnacentral:tRNA from 1 species
GGCCACACAGCUCAGUUGGCUAGAGCGUUGGCUAUAGUAAAGCCUUCCCGUUACUGGAGUGGGUUCGAAUCCCACCGAGGCUG